rnacentral:rRNA from 1 species
CCAAUAGCGUAUAUUAAAGUUGUUGCAGUUAAAAAGCUCGUAGUUGAAUUUCGGGAUCUGUCCAUUGGUCGGGCCUCACGGUCCGUACUGGUGUGAUGGGUUCCUACCUUCUGAAUAACCAGCAUGCCAUUUAGUUGGUGCGUUGGGGAAGCAGAGCUAUUACCUUGAAAAAAUUAGAGUGCUUAAAGCAGGCUAGUGCUUGAAUAGAUUAGCAUGGAAUAAUAAAAUAGGACGGCAUGGUUCUAUUUUGUUGGUUUCUAGGAUCACCGUAAUGAUUAAUAGGGAUAGUUGGGGGCAUUAGUAUUCAAUUGUCAGAGGUGAAAUUCUUGGAUUUAUUGAAGACUAACUUCUGCGAAAGCAUUUGCCAAGGAUGUUUUCAUUAAUCAAGAACGAAAGUUAGGGGAUCGAAGACGAUCAGAUACCGUCGUAGUCUUAACCAUAAACUAUGCCGACUAGGGAUCGGACGAUGUUAAUUUUUUAAUGACUCGUUCGGCGCCUUACG